rnacentral:lncRNA from 1 species
AGGAACCUGACAAAGCCAUUUUGAGAAGCAGUAUGACAUCUGUGGACGUGUAUGCUGUAUAUUAUGUGAGAGACUCUUAUUGAACAGUAGAGGUGCCUUAUGCUUCUUUCUGUCAGUGAGUAACCACCAUAUACAUGCAGAUGCAGACAUGUAAAGUUGGAGUCUAGAGUCCACAUUUCAUUCAAUACCUUCAUAAUUGAUGUAUAACGAUAGCAUAAUAAUAGUAACAUUGAAAACCAUAACAUAUUUGUAAAAGUUUUAGUAUUGCAAGUGUGCUGUGUGAGUGAGACAGCAGUUGGCCAAGUGAAUGUCCUCUUUUCCUCUUUUAUGAGAAGAGGUAUUUAGUUUUAUACAUACUUUGUGAGAAGAGAUAUUUGUUUUAUACUUUUAUACUUACGUUUUUUUUUAUCAUUAUGUAUGACUGGAGUGUGUUUACAUUUGAGGCGUAAAAUGAGUCCCGCCAUUUAUUGUAACAGUCAAGAAUAUUUAUUUAUUUAUUUUCUAAUGCACCUCUGUCUGGUGACGUUUGUGUGAGCUGAUGGGCAUUGCUUGCCUCCUGACCCCCCUCACUCUCCCAUGCCCCUCUCCCUUCUCCUGGGCACAGGUCAUUCUGGGGUCAUGCCCCUCUCCCUUCUCAUGGGCACAGGUCAUUCAGGGGUCAUGCCCCACUCCCUUCUCCUGGGCACAGGUCAUUCUGGGGUCAUGCCCCACUCCCUUCUCCUGGGCACAGGUCAUUCUGGGGUCAUGCCCCUCUCCCUUCUCCUGGGCACAGGUCACACCUGGCCACAUUUUAGGGGUGAAAUCUAUUUAGUGAGUAGAGGGCGUCAGUACAUUGGGGGUUGAUAUCAUUUUGCUGGCUUAGCUUAAUCAUUGCGUAAUCAUGUUAGAAAACAUCUUUGAAUUUGCAAUGCGUGAAUUGUUUGAAUGCCUGUAAGUGGCUCCUUUGUGAACUCAGAUACAGUAAAUCCUUGUAGUAAAUUCUAAAAGAGAAAUAACAUUAUUAACUAUCACUCCGUUAAUAUCUAGCCACGACUGAAACAGGGGUGGUGAAUAAAUAACUGGAGUUAGAUUGGUCA